UACAGAGGUCCCAAGCGUUGUUCGGAUUCACUGGGCGUAAAGGGUGCGUAGGUGGUGAGGUAAGUCGGAUGUGAAAGCUCGGAGCUCAACUCCGAAAUGGCAUUGGAAACUACCUUGCUCGAGGGUUGGAGGGGGGACUGGAAUGCUUGGUGUAGCAGUGAAAUGCGUAGAUAUCAAGCGGAACACCAGUGGCGAAGGCGAGUCCAUGGACAACUCCUGACACUGAGGCACGAAAGCUAGGGGAGCAAACAGG
rnacentral:rRNA from 1 species